GUGGGGAAUAUUCCGCAAUGGACGAAAGUCUGACGGAGCAACGCCGCGUGAGUGAUGAAGGUUUUCGGACUGUAAAGCUCUGUUGUUUAGGACGAAAGUGCCUGUUGCGAAUAGUUACAGGUAUUGACGGUACUGAACGAGGAAGCCACGGCUAACUACGUGCCAGCAGCCGCGGUAAUACGUAGGUGGCAAGCGUUGUCCGGAAUUAUUGGGCGUAAAGAGCAUGUAGGCGGGAAUCUAAGUCUGUUGUGAAAAUGCGGGGCUCAACCCCGUAUUGCGAUGGAAACUGGGUUGCUUGAGUGCAGGAGAGGAAAGGGGAAUUCCCAGUGUAGCGGUGAAAUGCGUAGAUAUUGGGAGGAACACCAGUGGCGAAGGCGCCUUUCUGGACUGUGUCUGACGCUGAGAUGCGAAAGCCAGGGUAGCGAACGGGAUUAGAUACCCCUGUAGUCC
rnacentral:rRNA from 1 species